CCUACGGGAGGCAGCAGUGGGGAAUAUUGGACAAUGGGGGCAACCCUGAUCCAGCCAUGCCGCGUGUGUGAAGAAGGCCUUAGGGUUGUAAAGCACUUUCAGUGGGGAGGAAAAGUUGACGGCUAAUACCCGUCAGCCCUGACGUUACCUACAGAAGAAGCACCGGCAAACUCCGUGCCAGCAGCCGCGGUAAU
rnacentral:rRNA from 1 species